rnacentral:lncRNA from 1 species
GCUUACUCAAGCGUGGUGCUCGUGAUGAUGUUUGCUUUGGUGGCUGGAUCGGCUUUCGCUCAGUCUCCCGCAUCGUCACCGACUGCUUCUCCUACUAAGUCGCCAACGGCUUCUCCUCCGGUGGCCACUCCCCCGUCUCCAACACCUUCUCCAUCCACCACUCCUUCUGCCCCUGCUCCCGCCCCAUCCACCGUAUCACCACCAGCCUCUACUCCAUCUCCUACAUCGGGUUCUCCUCCCGCACCUCCAACGAGUCCUGCUUCGCCACCCACCACUGGUGCCUCAC